AGGUCCAAAUGACCUGAUUUUUGUAGCAUUGGAAAGGUAUGACAUAACACUACAACUUUCAUGAAAAACACCAAUUCAAAUUCUGUCCAUAAUUAAGUCAUUUUGCCCUCCAAAGUUAAUGGUCCAAAACUACCAGAACCACUUAGGUGCCCAGAAAAUCUAGGUUAAACCAAUCCGGCCAGCCAUGUUCAAAUGGUCAUAUCUUGGACUACAAAACUUCAAAUAGCGAUUCAAAAAGGGAAUUAAAGAUAAGACAAUAAGGAACAACUUUAACGAAGGACAUUUAGCCAAAUUCCCACUGUAGAUAGACUAAUGGGACAGUACAAACAAGUAACCAAAAACUGAAAUUUUGAUAUUUAACCCUAAUAGGCUUUGAAUUAAAUUUUGGCAAUCAAUGCCAACAAAAAUGACUCAAAAUGUGGCAUGUGAGUGUAAUUAGAAUUAACAUAUCUAAUUAGUAUGAAAAAGUCAAUAUUUUGAUCGAAUGGUCAAAUGAAUAGUAACCACAAUUACACUAAGUAUAAAAUACUCAAUUUUAUGUGAUAAAUUAAGCGUACAAAAUUUAAUUAUUGAAUUUAUUUAUUAGAAAUAAAUUAAAUAGAUAUUGAAACACUCUAGUUAUGUGUUUUAGUGGGAAAGGAGCUCUCCAAGGAAGGAGAAGGAAUUGAAUCAAGACAAGUCAAGAUAAGAGAUUUGUGCACAACUAACUCUUUUGU
rnacentral:misc_RNA from 1 species